rnacentral:ncRNA from 1 species
ACGAUAAGGUUACAGUAAAAGCAGCCUAAUUGUCGAAGUGAACCUUCGGCUAAAAACCCUCAAAUUGCGGGAAAGCCCUAAAGCAAUUUCAACCAAGCAGACGUGGUAACACAGUUUGUGGCACAGGUAAUGACUCGUGGUAUGGUAAAAUCGAAAUUGAUAGACGUGAGUGAAUGGGUAAUCCGCAGCCAAGCUCCACUACUUUAAAUAACAUACUUCACUACUUUGUAAGGGUUAUUUAAAAUAAUGGUGUGCAGUUCAUCGACUAGAUGUUGGUUGGCGCAAGCUUAAGAUAUAGUCAAGCCUCAUUCGAAAGAAUGCA